rnacentral:rRNA from 1 species
UCCGGUUGAUCCUGCCAGAGGCCGCUGCUAUCCGGCUGGGACUAAGCCAUGCUAGUCUAGGGGCUUGUACUCCUUCGGGGGUGCAAGCACCGGCGGACGGCUCAGUAACACGUGGACAACCUGCCCUCGGGUGGGGGAUAACCCCGGGAAACUGGGGCUAAUCCCCCAUAGGUGAUGGGUGCUGGAAUGCCCCAUCUCCGAAAGCGCUUAGCGCCCGAGGAUGGGUCUGCGGCGGAUUAGGUAGUUGGUGGGGUAACGGCCCACCAAGCCUAAGAUCCGUACGGGCUGUGGGAGCAGGAGCCCGGAGAUGGACCCUGAGACAAGGGUCCAGGCCCUACGGGGCGCAGCAGGCGCGAAACCUCCGCAAUGCGGGAAACCGCGACGGGGUUAGCCGGAGUGCCCGUGCAUUGCACGGGCUGUCGGGGUGCCUAAACAGCACCCCAUAGCAAGGGCCGGGCAAGGCCGGUGGCAGCCGCCGCGGUAAGACCGGCGGCCCGAGUGGCGGCCACUCUUAUUGGGCCUAAAGCGUCCGUAGCCGGCCCAGUAAGUCCCCCGGGAAAUCUGGUCGCUUAACGAUCAGACUUCCGGGGGAUACUGCUGGGCUAGGGACCGGGAGAGGCCGAGGGUAUUCCCGGGGUAGGGGUGAAAUCCUG